CAACCUGCCGUCUACUCUUGGACAGCCUUCUGAAAGGAAGAUUAAUACAAGAUGGCAUCAUGAGUCCGCAUGUUCACAUGAUUAAAGGUAUUCCGGUAGACGAUGGGGAUGCGUUCCAUUAGAUAGUAGGCGGGGUAACGGCCCACCUAGUCUUCGAUGGAUAGGGGUUCUGAGAGGAAGGUCCCCCACAUUGGAACUGAGACACGGUCCAAACUCCUACGGGAGGCAGCAGUGAGGAAUAUUGGUCAAUGGGCGAGAGCCUGAACCAGCCAAGUAGCGUGAAGGAUGACUGCCCUAUGGGUUGUAAACUUCUUUUAUAAAGGAAUAAAGUCGGGUAUGCAUACCCGUUUGCAUGUACUUUGUGAAUAAGGAUCGGCUAACUCCGUGCCAGCAGCCGCGGUAAUACGGAGGAUCCGAGCGUUAUCCGGAUUUAUUGGGUUUAAAGGGAGCGUAGAUGGAUGUUUAAGUCAGUUGUGAAAGUUUGUGGCUCAACCGUAAUAUUGCAGUUGAUACUGGAUAUCUUGAGUGCAGUUGAGGCAGGCGGAAUUCGUGGUGUAGCGGUGAAAUGCUUAGAUAUCACGAAGAACUCCGAUUG
rnacentral:rRNA from 1 species